rnacentral:misc_RNA from 1 species
AUCCCUCCUGCCGUCCCAGGAAUCUUGUUUUUGUCUGGUGGACAAUCUGAAGUUGAGGCAACUCUUAACUUGAACGCCAUGAACCAAAGUCCCAACCCAUGGCACGUGUCGUUCUCAUACGCCAGAGCCCUUCAGAACACAUGCCUCAAGACUUGGAGUGGAAGGCCAGAAAAUGUGAAGGCAGCUCAGGAUGCCUUGCUUGUUAGAGCAAAGGCCAACUCUCUUGCCCAGCUAGGGAAAUACACCGGUGAAGGUGAGUCCGAUGAGGCCAAGAAGGGAAUGUUCGUGAAGGGAUACGUCUAUUAAGUGUCUACCAAAAUCUAUAGAUAUUUGAUGAUGAAGCAUGUAAUGUAGCCAAAUCAAACUGCAUAAAUGCUUAUAGCUGCUCCUCAAGACUGUUUUGUUCAUAUACCGUGUGCUUUUAGCAAUUUAUUACAUCCAUCCUUCUCUGUUGGUUU